rnacentral:rRNA from 1 species
UACGAAGGGGCUAGCGUUGCUCGGAAUCACUGGGCGUAAAGCGCACGUAGGCGGAUUGUUAAGUCAGGGGUGAAAUCCUGGAGCUCAACUCCAGAACUGCCUUGAUACUGGCGAUCUUGAGUCCGGAGAGGUGAGUGGAACUGCGAGUGUAGAGGUGAAAUUCGUAGAUAUUCGCAAGAACACCAGUGCGAAGGCGGCUCACUGGCCCGGAACUGACGCUGAGCGCGAAGCGUGGUAGCAACAGG